AAUGAAUUUAAGCUUCAUAUAUAAAGUUUUUCUUUUAUUAGAA
rnacentral:tRNA from 1 species